rnacentral:rRNA from 1 species
UACAGAGGGGGCGAGCGUUAUUCGGAAUUAUUGGGCGUAAAGGGCGCGUAGGCGGCCUGGCAAGUGACGGGUGAAAGCCCUCGGCUCAACCGAGGAACUGCCUGUCAUACUGCCGGGCUUGAGUCCGGGAGAGGUGAGUGGAAUUCCCAGUGUAGCGGUGAAAUGCGUAGAUAUCGGGAGGAACACCAGUGGCGAAGGCGGUUGCCUGGAGCUUUGCUGACGCUGAUGCGCGAAAGCGUGGGGAGCGAUCCGG